rnacentral:rRNA from 1 species
CAGUCGCCACGGGAAUACGUAGGGUGCAAACGUUGUUCGGAAUCACUGGGCGUAAAGCGCGUGUAGGCGGUCCUGCAGGUCGGAUGUGAAAUCCCCGGGCUCAACCUGGGAAUGGCAGUGGAUACUGGCAAGCUAGAGUGUGUCAGAGGAUGGUGGAAUUCCCGGUGUAGCGGUGAAAUGCGUAGAGAUCGGGAGGAACAUCAGUGGCGAAGGCGGCCAUCUGGGACAACACUGACGCUGAAGCACGAAAGCGUGGGGAGCAAACAGGAUUAGAUACCCCAGUAGUCCCUGUCUCUUAUAU